UUACCUAAUAAAACAAAAGUAUACAAAUUCUUCUUUUUUUUCUUUGUAUGUGUGAAGAUGAAUUUAACAUUCAACAGGAAGAGUCUGAAAAGAAAAAGCGCAGUCCAGAAUUGAAUGAAAAUUCUCCAGAGGAAAAUCAACCUGUAAUAGUGAAACGCAAAAGGGGACGGCCUCGUAAAUACCCUCUUGAAGCAGUACAACCUGGUGGUGGGGAGUCAAAAGCUGAUAUGAGCACUGGGAAUCUGCAGUCUCCUACCUUUGCAAGUAGAGGAAAAACACCUCAAACAGGU
rnacentral:lncRNA from 1 species